GACGAACGCUGGCGGCGUGCUUAACACAUGCAAGUCGAACGGAAAGGCCCUGCUUGCCGGGUACUCGAGUGGCGAACGGGUGAGUAACACGUGGGUGAUCUGCCCUGCACUUCGGGAUAAGCUUGGGAAACUGGGUCUAAUACCGGAUAGGAGCCAUCUUUAGUGUGGUGGUUGGAAAGUUUUUUCGGUGUAGGAUGAGCUCGCGGCCUAUCAGCUUGUUGGUGGGGUAAUGGCCUACCAAGGCGGCGACGGGUAGCCGGCCUGAGAGGGUGUACGGCCACAUUGGGACUGAGAUACGGCCCAGACUCCUACGGGAGGCAGCAGGGGGGAAUAUUGCACAAUGGGCGCAAGCCUGAUGCAGCGACGCCGCGUGGGGGAUGAAGGCCUUCGGGUUGUAAACUCCUUUCGCUAGGGACGAAGCUUUGUUGUGACGGUACCUAGAUAAGAAGCACCGGCUAACUACGUG
rnacentral:rRNA from 1 species